rnacentral:misc_RNA from 1 species
ACAACAGAAGCACCAACACCGUCAGAGGCGGCAUGCACGACAUCAGCAGACUUCUUCAACCUGACAUACAAACACGCUCUCAACUUUCGGUGGCUCUACAAUUCAAGCGCACUCCUCAACGUCCCCUUGCUCCUCAACGUAAACCCAGACCACGUCAUUCAAUGACACCAAUUCGGUGAUGCACUGACGUGUUAAACAUAUGAGGCCCAUUCCAGUGUGAUAUUGCUCGAUGCCUCAUUCACCACAGACACCGAACGGUGACUCAACAAGCAGCAGUGGAGGUCACAAUGCUGCUAAACCCACAACGUUACGACCAGGCAGUGGGCGCCGCAACUCGCCUGGUGUUUAGAUGUGAGUACAGUACUGUACUCAUCCUGUAUUCACGAUAAUAGCGCUAACGUUAUUGGCCCCCGUCGUCAGCGUCGCACUACCGACAUUUGCUCCAUCGUGACACGUCUCAUUUCUCAGACUCGAGCCUGAUCUACAGCAAGAUGUAUCCCUCUACUUUCCCUCCAUUUUAUUCAACUCUGCCUCUGUUCAUCAUCAGCAACGCCACUGUAAUCGCCACUUUUAGGGGAACCGUCAUUUGCAUGCAACUCGUGACACAGGACACAGACACAGACACAGACACAGACACAUGGCCAUACCAGGAUCCAACAACCUUCGAGUAAGUUAGUUUUAUACUGUAAACAUGCGUGAGAUUGGACUGGGCGCAUGACACGAGAGCCAUGAGUAGGCAUCGAGCUACUGUACUGGAAUAUAAACCACUUCUAGCAUUGCUACCAUGCGGUUUGAGUGGCAUCAGGUUAACACCGGGACAGGCUUUGGGCAUUGACUUUCCCUUGUCAGUCCAAAACACCGAAUCAUGCUAUUCCAUCGAGUCACAGCCCAGCCCUUGACAUCGCCCACACAAAUGAUUGAUCAACGAGACCUAGGCGUAUCGCAGUUGCCCAUACUGAUACAACGUCUCUCGAGGUGAGGUAUCAUACGCUUAUCUAUUUGGGGUUUCCAUGGCACCAGUUUUCGGCGGAUGCUUGGUCACGAGUCCUAACACCCCAGAAAGACAUAGAUCAUUCGAUUAAGGCAGACACUAGGGGCAUUGUGGUAUCAAAUUGUUCCCCAAGAGCUCAUUUGUCGUUGUUAAAACCACACACGUGAAAAAUAGCAACAUCACUCCCAGGUUUGUGCAGUAGAAUAUAGCUUUUCCAU